GGGCUGCUCCUCUACUCUGUGCCCAUGAGAGCCCAGCUGUUUUCGCCUCCUCCUCAACCGUUCUCUUCCAUGUUUUCCUUGGCCGGCCCACCCUCCUUUUUCCCUGGGGAUUCCAGUCUAAUGCAUGUUUUGAUGAAUAAGAUGCCUCCAGGUGUUGUGUAUAUCAAUCAGCCCACUGGAGAUAUAUCAAUCUUUUAAUAAAUUAUAAGGUCCCCACUGCUUGAUACUUCACCAAAUACUGGCUACACCAGAAAAUGACUAAAUGUUCUUAACACUUAACAACUACCACAAGCAUUACUUCUGGGUCACUCUGAAGGGUCUAAUCGUUCAAUUACUGAAUUGAUAAAGUUGAUGAAAUUGCUCGCUCAAAAGUUGUCUGGCACCUUCUUAACUCAGAGACAUAGGAAUGUGGAUGGAUUAUGACAUACCUUGCACAAAUCAACAACCAGGCUUUUAUUGGAUUUGAAUCCCAAAGGAAAGAGAAAGUUUGUUAUCCAAAACAAACAUGGAAAAUAUCAGAAACCAACAAAACACAAGCAGGCAGAGUGUUAUGGACCCAACUUUGGGGAAUCUCCUAAAAUCAAGUAUAAAAAUAGAGAGGUGUGGUUGUGUCUCUCAGCUCCACAAGGGUCCACAAGAAUGAGGACAACAGUGAUUUUCGUAAUAAUUUUAGAUCAGAUUUAAAAAAAAAAUUGAUCAGAUGGAUCAGGUUAACAGUUUAAUACAUAUUGCAUUUAAGUGCUUAACGAAAAGAAAAGAUGCUCUUACCAAAAUAGUCUAAGAACAAUGCUGAUUUAAAAUUAAUAAAUUGUUUCCUUUUGUAAUAAUAUAAUAAUUUAAGUUGGCAUUGUAUGUAUGUUUAGUGUAGAUUUAAUGCCCUAAAUGAAAUAUACAAUUGACAUUUUUUUUCUUUAAAGAAAUAGUUGCAAAUUUCUUUCAUUAUUUAGUUUCACUGUACAAUCUGAAAAAAGCUUGCAACAUUUGUAUUGACAAUACUUCUGCUGGUGAUAUUUAUUUCUAAUUAAUGAAGUAA